rnacentral:rRNA from 1 species
AGUGACGAAAAAUAACGAUACGGGACUCAUCCGAGGCCCCGUAAUCGGAAUGAGUACACUCUAAACCCUUUAACGAGGAUCAAUUGGAGGGCAAGUCUGGUGCCAGCAGCCGCGGUAAUUCCAGCUCCAAUAGCGUAUAUUAAAGUUGUUGCGGUUAAAAAGCUCGUAGUCGAAUCUGUGUCCCGCGCCGCCGGUUCAUCGUUCGCGGUGUUAACUGGCGUGCCGCGGGACGUCCUGCCGGUGGGCUUAGCUCGCAAGGGCGGCCCAACUCAAUCCCGCCGCGGUGCUCUUCAUUGAGUGUCGAGGUGGGCCGGCACGUUUACUUUGAACAAAUUAGAGUGCUUAAAGCAGGCUAAAACUUCGCCUGAAUACUGUGUGCAUGGAAUAAUGGAAUAGGACCUCGGUUCUAUUUUGUUGGUUUUCGGAACCCCGAGGUAAUGAUUAAUAGGAACGGAUGGGGGCAUUCGUAUUGCGACGUUAGAGGUGAAAUUCUUGGAUCGUCGCAAGACGGACAGAAGCGAAAGCAUUUGCCAAAAACGCUUUCAUUGAUCAAGAACGAAAGUUAGAGGUUCGAAGGCGAUCAGAUACCGCCCUAGUUCUAACCAUAAACGAUGCCAGCUAGCGAUCCGCCGACGUUCCUCCGAUGACUCGGCGGGCAGCUUCCGGGAAACCAAAGCUUUUGGGUUCCGGGGGAAGUAUGGUUGCAAAGCUGAAACUUAAAGGAAUUGACGGAAGGGCACCACCAGGAGUGGAGCCUGCGGCUUAAUUU